UUGGCGAGGCAGUCCAUAUGCUGUUUAAAGAUGGCGGCGGAGGAACCUCAUCAGCAGAAUCCGGAGCCAUUGGAAAGUGACUCUGAAGGAAUUAACAGUUUGGCCUACGAUGAAGCCAUCAUGGCCCAGCAGGACCGAAUUCAGCAAGAGAUUGCUGUUCAAAAUCCCCUGGUGUCCGAGCGCCUGGAGCUCUCCGUGCUUUACAAGGAGUACGCCGAAGAUGACAACAUCUACCAACAGAAGAUCAAGGACCUACACAAAAAGUACUCCUACAUCCGAAAGACCAGGCCCGAUGGCAACUGCUUCUACCGGGCUUUCGGCUUCUCCCACCUGGAGGCCCUUCUGGAGGACAAGAAGGAGCUGCAGAGGCUCAAAGCCGUCUCCGCCAAGAGCAAGGACGACCUGGUGGCCCAGGGCUUCGCCGAGUUCACAAUUGAAGAUUUCCACAACACAUUCAUGGACCUGAUCGAACAGGUGGAGAGGGGAACCUCAGCAACGGAACUGCUGGCCUCCUUCAAUGACCAGAGCACCUCCGACUACCUGGUGGUUUACCUGCGGCUGCUCACCUCAGGCCACCUGCAGCGUGAGAGCAAGUUCUUCGAGCAUUUCAUCGAGGGGGGACAGACGGUCAAGGAGUUUUGUCAGCAGGAGGUGGAGCCCAUGUGCAAGGAGAGUGACCACAUCCACAUCAUGGCGCUGGCGCAGGCCCUCAGCAUCUCCAUCCAGGUGGAGUACAUGGACCGCGGUGAGGGCGGCACCACCAACACCCACGUCUUCUCUGAGGGCUCCGAGACCAAGGUGUACCUUCUGUACAGACCCGGACACUACGACAUCCUUUACAAAUAGAUGCGGCGGGGUCCUGGGCUCCGCCGCUGCUGCCCACCGGCGCUGGGGCAGCCCUGCCCCUCCCUCCCCGCUCCCCCGCUAACAGGUGUUAGCCACGUGCAAAUUGGUUUUUUGUGGUUGUAAAUGGCGAUAUUCCCAUCCCCUUUCCCCUCCCUGUCACCCGCUAGUUUGUCUGUUUUAUUAAAGGGGAUGCUGGUGAUGGAGGGGAAAAAAAGAGCAACAGCACUCCCUUUGAAGGAGAAACCCAACAAGCGACCUCUAAAAUGACAAGUACUUAAUGGAAAUUAACAUGUAGAUCGCAACUCCAGGAAACAACAACAGUAGCUUUUCAGAAGAGCUUUAGAGGUAGGGGAAACUGCAGACUCAGAUGGAGCAGCGGCAGUAAGGUCCGUCGUGUGGGGAGAUGAAGUCUCGAGAAGACAUCCGAUCAAUCGGGAACAUGAUGCUAUUAUGUUACCAUAGUAAGAUAGAUUUUCUAGGAAAGACUCCUCAGAAGGCAACAUGUGAAUCUGUGGAAGUUUGUGGAUGAAGGAGCUUUCUUACGUCAUUUACCUCUCUAUUCUACCCCAAUCAAAAGCUUUUCUGGUCUGUUAGUAGAGAAUUAAUUGCAUGUGGAGUUGAUCUAUAUUUGCAUAACUGUGACUGGGUCCCAAAGCAUCCUUCACUGAACCUGGGGAAUUCUAAAGUAAUAGGGAACCUAUAAUUAGUAGUAGUAGCAGUAGUAGUGAUGGUAGUGGUAGUAAUAGUAAUAAUUGUAGCAAUAGUAGUAGGAAUAGCAGUAAGGGAAGUACUAAUAAUAGUAGUAAUAAUAGGAAUAGAAAUAGUAAAAGUAGGAGUAGAAAUAACUAAUAGUAAAGUAGUAAUAGUAGUAGAACAGCAGCAUCAACUAUCACUGACAACUAUAAUAUAGCAAUUAAAACUUUGCAAAGCAUUUUUCCCAUAGCAGGUCAGGGAAAUGAGUCUUCAUAUUAACAAAUAAUUACAAUCGGAGAAUAUCUAGUUCAACCUCACUUAACAAAUAAGGAAAAUGAGUAGCAAAGUGGUUGUGACUUUUAUACUGGUAGUAGGUAGCAGAGGGACACCUCUUUUUAUCAAUCCUCUCAUAAAGGCUAUUUUACCAUUUUGACCCUCACAUCUCUUAACUAUUUCUCUAUCCUUUAAUCACAUACCCCAAAGAGAACCAAUUUUACCUUGGAUUUGUUUCCUUAUGUUUAAAAUGAGAAGAUUUCACUAGUGGACCUCUAGGGUUCCUUCCGGUAAUAAUAAUAAUAACUAGAAUUUAUAGUGUUUACAAUUUUCAAAGCACUUGACAAAUAACUCAGUUUUACCAUCCGGAGAGGAAGGUGUUGUUAUCCCCAUUUUAUGGGUGUAAAGAGAGGUAAUGUGACUUGUUCAAGGUCUCCUAGCGAGUAAGUAUCUGAAGAUAGGUUUUAACUCAGACUUUUAUAAGGUCCAGGGCACAUUCUCCAUUCACCAUACCACCUAACUAAGUUUACAAUCCUAUGAUUUCAAGAUAUUGUCUUUAUGUGAACCAUUAGGUUGCUGAAAGGGGACAAUAAAAUAACAUUUAUAUAAGUAAAACUUUUAAAACUCAAAAUGUGAAGAAAUAGUAUUGAAGAAAAAUAUUUCCUAAAAAAUGGAAGAGAAAUGGACCUCUGAAGACCUGAUAGAGAAUUUUCCCUCAGAAAAAAUGUACUGAAAGGACCUGUUUGAAAUUCAAUCGAGGAGAUCAACAGUUGUAGGGCAUUAUGGCUCAUGAAAUCAUCUGCAUGUUUCUGUUUUUGUUGUUUUUUAGAAUUUUAUAGUUUACAAUUUUGAAACUAUCAAAUAACAGAGAUUGUAUAAAGAUUUUGGGGUUCUUCAGUAACCAAAAGUUAAAUUUCUUGAGCUUUACCUUAUGUGGCAAAUAUAAAUCAUUAACCACCAGAGAACUCUGAUUUAAUACAUUAAAAGAUAUGAGGCAAAAAUUAAAAGAAAAGCAAGAUAAUUAAUAGAAUAAGCUUAACAGAGGGGUUGUAAGAAGCUACUGACAAAAUAUACACAAGGCUAGGAAAGAAUGUUUUCUCUUGCUAGGAACUUGCUGAUUGGGAUAGGGGAAGUCAUCACUUUACAAUGAUUGGCUGAAGAAAGGUUUGAUCAGCUAAGAAAGCUCUAUAGUUUCUAGAUUUUAUACAAAAUAGGCUAUCUAGUGCCAUCUACAGCCUGAGAGAAAGGGAAAUUCUCAAAAAAGUGCCUGGUUGACCUCCUAUUGCCACCAUAGUUUGGGAGCAAGGUUGGGGUGGGAGUGGGGGUAGGAGAAUGAAUAGACAGGGUAAGAUAAGCUUUGCCUCUACAUUGCUGUGAUCUUAUUACCAGAGGAUGGGCUUGGUUUAGCUUAAAGAUGUCUCAAAAAAAAAAAAAAAAAAAAA